rnacentral:sRNA from 1 species
AAUUAUACACUUCAAAUUUACUUAUUUAUGUUUUUCCGCUUUACUUUUUUACUUCUUUGGUAAUUUAAGUAUCUAAUGGUGAGCUUAUUACUUUAGUUAAUGCCUGAGCUGCUGAGCGUUUUUGGAGGAAUUUGUUUCCGCGCACACCCGAACACCAGAAGAAGACUCGGAACCAGUUUCGACGAGCGCUGUUGGAAGAUCUGGAGGGAUCUCAGUGUCACUAAAAGAAAAUGGAAGGGAUGAUUGAUGAUAGUUUUUCUCCUCUUGUCUUCCUCGACGAUCUCGAUUAGACUGUCAGUCGAGGGCCACCAAGCAAUCGGCAGCAAUACAAAAUUACAUUUUGGUGACGAAUCGUGACAGACUGAAGCGAAAGCUCGAUAUUGUAUAGUAUUUCUCUCCAACAACUAUAUUAACAUGCUUCAGCGGAGCAUGAUACUUGGGUGUUGGUUCAAAGUUGGCUGAGGCCGGAAAUGAUCAGUAAAAGGGAAACAGCUGCAGUCGGUUGCACGUGAAUGGCUGCGAGUAGUCCAGUCUUAGCGUAGCAAGGGGGCAAGCGAAGAUCUAUGCUGGUUGGAAUUCACGCCAGCUUUCGAACUCGGAGGCUUACCUUACGGUGCACAUUCCUACCCAAAAUGUAUCGGCCCUUGCCGGAAGCAGUAAUGAGGGUAUCAAAAUGGAUAUAGGAAGGCUGGAGAAUUGUAAAUUUCUCGUCCUCGAGUUCCGCAAAAGAGUAUCUUGAAUUUCAACCAAUACUAUACAGAAAUCUGAAUCAGGGGCCGCAUGCUUGUGUCGUAGGUUUUACGAUGUGAUAAUCUAGACAAAAUGUCAUUGCCACCAGUCAGACCGACAUCAGCAAGCCAUAUGUAA